AGAAAGUMUGACGCAGCGACGCCGCGUGGAGGAUGAAGGUUUUCGGAUCGUAAACUCCUGUCAAGAGGGAWGAAACMUAUUAGGAAUMACACUCSUAGUAAUYGACGGUACCUMUASAGGAAGCACCGGMUAAUUCAGYGCCAGCAGCCGCGGUAAUACUGAAGGUGCAAGCGUUAAUMGGAAUCACUGGGCGUAAAGCGCUMGUAGGUGGCUUUGUAAGUCAGAUGUGAAAGCCCACGGCUCAACCGUGGAAUUGCAUUUGAUASUGCAUCGSUAGAGUAUAGGAGAGGGAAGUGGAAUUUSUGGUGUAGGAGUGAAAUCCGUAGAGAUCAGAAGSAACACCGGUGGCGAAGGCGAYUUCCUGGACUAUUACUGACACUGMGGAGCGAAAGCGUGGGGAGCAAACAGGAUUAGAUACCCUGGUAGUCC
rnacentral:rRNA from 1 species